rnacentral:rRNA from 1 species
GAUGAACGCUGGCGGCGUGCCUAAUACAUGCAAGUCGAGCGAACAGACGAGGAGCUUGCUCCUUCGACGUUAGCGGCGGACGGGUGAGUAACACGUAGGUAACCUACCUAUAAGACUGGGAUAACUUCGGGACACCGGAGCUAAUACCGGAUAAUAUUUCGAACCGCAUGGUUCGAUAGUGAAAGAUGGCUUUGCUAUCACUUAUAGAUGGACCUGCGCCGUAUUAGCUAGUUGGUAAGGUAACGGCUUACCAAGGCAACGAUACGUAGCCGACCUGAGAGGGUGAUCGGCCACACUGGAACUGAGACACGGUCCAGACUCCUACGGGAGGCAGCAGUAGGGAAUCUUCCGCAAUGGGCGAAAGCCUGACGGAGCAACGCCGCGUGAGUGAUGAAGGUCUUCGGAUCGUAAAACUCUGUUAUUAGGGAAGAACAAACGUGUAAGUAACUGUGCACGUCUUGACGGUACCUAAUCAGAAAGCCACGGCUAACUACGUG